GUUGUAGUCUGGAGAAGUGCUUUCCGCGCUGGACCGUGUAUAAGUCUCUUGGAACAGAGCGUCAUAGAGGGUGAGAAUCCCGUCUUUGACACGGACUACCAGUGCUUUGUGAUGCGCUCUCAAAGAGUCGAGUUGUUUGGGAAUGCAGCUCAAAAUGGGUGGUAAAUUCCAUCUAAAGCUAAAUAUUGGCGAGAGACCGAUAGCGAACAAGUACCGUGAGGGAAAGAUGAAAAGCACUUUGGAAAGAGAGUUAAACAGUACGUGAAAUUGCUGAAAGGGAAACGCUUGAAGUCAGUCGCGUCUGCCGGAACUCAGCCUUGCUUUUGCUUGGUGCAUUUUCCGGUUGACGGGCCAGCAUCGAUUUUGACCGUCGGAAAAGGGCUAGGGAAAUGUGGCACCUUCGGGUGUGUUAUAGUCUCUAGUCGCAUACGGCGGUUGGGAUCGAGGACCGCAGCGCGCCGCAAGGCAGGGGUUCGCCCACUUUCGCGCUUAGGAUGCUGGCAUAAUGGCUUUAAACGACCCGUCUUGAAACACGGACCAAGGAGUCUAACAAACCUGCGAGUGUUUGGGUGGUAAACCCGAGCGCGUAAUGAAAGUGAAAGUUGAGACCUCUGUCGUGGAGGGCAUCGACGCCCGGACCUGACGUUCUCUGAAGGAUCCGCGGUAGAGCAUGUUUGUUGGGACCCGAAAGAUGGUGAACUAUGCCUGAAUAGGGUGAAGCCAGAGGAAACUCUGGUG
rnacentral:rRNA from 1 species